rnacentral:rRNA from 1 species
AAAUAUGGAGUUACCACCUUGCAUAUGGCUGAGCUCAGCUGAUCUCGGAAGCUAAGCAGGGUUGCACCUGGUCAGUCCUUGGACAGGAGACAACAUGGGAGUACUAGGACUUAUAGGCU